rnacentral:rRNA from 1 species
UAAGCAGAUAGUGAAAACAGGUGGCUCAACCAUUCUGACUAUUAUCUGAACUGGUGAACUCGAGAAUGGUAGAGGUGAUUGGAAUUUCUAGUGUAGGGGUAAUAUCCGUAGAUAUUAGAAGGAACACCAAUGGCGUAGGCAGAUCACUGGACCAUUUCUGACGCUGAGGCACGAAAGCGUGGGGAGCGAACCGGAUUAGAUACCCGGGUAGUCCACGCCGUAAACGAUGGAUGCUA